rnacentral:rRNA from 1 species
GACGAACGCUUGCGGCGUGCCUAAGAAAUGCAAGUCGAACGGGUCGGCUCUUCGGAGCCGGCUAGUGGCGAACGGUCGCGUAACACGUAGGCAACCUGCCCUGAAGUGGGGGACAACAUCCCGAAAGGGGUGCUAAUACCGCAUGUGGCCCGGAGAUCGCAUGAUUUCCGGUCCAAAGCCUAGUGCGCUUCAGGAUGGGCUUGCGGCCUAUCAGCUUGUUGGUGGGGUAACGGCCACCAAGGCGUUGACGGGUAGCUGGUCUGAGAGGAUGGUCAGCCGGAUUGGGACUGAGAUACGGCCCAGACUCCGUACGGGGGCAGCAAUUAGGAAUCUUGCGCAAGUGGGGGAAACCCUGAUCCAGCCAUGCCGCGUGAGUGAUGAAGGCCUU